rnacentral:rRNA from 1 species
UACGUAGGGUGCGAGCGUUAAUCGGAAUUACUGGGCGUAAAGCGUGCGCAGGCGGUUCGCUGUGUCUGCGGUGAAAGCCCCGUGCUCAACCUGGGAAUGGCCGUGGAAACUGGCGAGCUGGAGUGUGGCAGAGGGGGGUGGAAUUCCACGUGUAGCAGUGAAAUGCGUAGAGAUGUGGAGGAACACCGAUGGCGAAGGCAGC